rnacentral:rRNA from 1 species
GACGAACGCCGGCGGCGUGCUUAACACAUGCAAGUCGAACGGAAAGGCCCUGCUUUUGUGGGGUGCUCGAGUGGCGAACGGGUGAGUAACACGUGAGUAACCUGCCCUUGACUUUGGGAUAACUUCAGGAAACUGGGGCUAAUACCGGAUAGGAGCUCCUGCUGCAUGGUGGGGGUUGGAAAGUUUCGGCGGUUGGGGAUGGACUCGCGGCUUAUCAGCUUGUUGGUGGGGUAGUGGCUUACCAAGGCUUUGACGGGUAGCCGGCCUGCGAGGGUGACCGGCCACAUUGGGACUGAGAUACGGCCCAGACUCCUACGGGAGGCAGCAGUGGGGAAUAUUGCACAAUGGGCGGAAGCCUGAUGCAGCAACGCCGCGUGCGGGAUGACGGCCUUCGGGUUGUAAACCGCUUUCGCCUGUGACGAAGCGUGAGUGACGGUAAUGGGUAAAGAAGCACCGGCUAACUACGU